GGAAAGAUAAGAGUUUUUCAUUGUAGCUUAGAACACUAGAAAUUUUUUGCUGGAAGUUAGAGAGAUCGGGACAUCUGUGCAGCUGGAAGAGAUAAACAAACGAGCCCUCCCCUCACAUCUCAUGCCGAUAUUUAUAAAAAGUGCAACAGUUAACAAAAGUGCUUUGUGAAUGAGGAGUCAUUAUGUCCCAUAGAGCAGCCCAUGCUUUCCAGGUCCAAGCUGUAUGGCUGACACCAUUCCGCUCUGUGACCUAAAAGAGUGCCACAGAACAGCUUCCUGCCAAAGGGAGACAGGGCUCACUGUUUUUCCAGAGCACAAUUUAUGUCAACGCCUCUGUAAAAUAUGUGCAAUA